UGCCCAUUGGCCUAAUGGACAAGACACUGGCGUCUUAAGCCAGGGAUUGUGGGUUCAAGUCCCACCUGGGCUG
rnacentral:tRNA from 1 species